UCGGGAAUUUUGGGCAAUGGGGGAAACCCUGACCCAGCAACGCCGCGUGAAGGAUGAAGUAUUUCGGUAUGUAAACUUCGAAAGAAUAGGAAGAAUAAAUGACGGUACUAUUUAUAAGGUCCGGCUAACUACGUGCCAGCAGCCGCGGUAAUACGUAGGGACCAAGCGUUGUUCGGAUUUACUGGGCGUAAAGGGCGCGUAGGCGGCAUGACAAGUCACUUGUGAAAUCUCUGGGCUUAACCCAGAACGGCCAAGUGAUACUGUCGCGCUAGAGUGCAGAAGGGGCAAUCGGAAUUCUUGGUGUAGCGGUGAAAUGCGUAGAUAUCAAGAGGAACACCUGAAGUGAAGACGGGUUGCUGGGCUGACACUGACGCUGAGGCGCGAAAGCCAGGGGAGCAAACGGGAUUAGAUACCCACGUAGUCCCUGAGCGGGCUGGCAAGGCGCAU
rnacentral:rRNA from 1 species